UGAGGAAUAUUGGUCAAUGGACGGAAGUCUGAACCAGCCAAGUAGCGUGCAGGAUGACGGCCCUAUGGGUUGUAAACUGCUUUUGUAUGGGGAUAAAGUUAGGGACGUGUCCCUAUUUGCAGGUACCAUACGAAUAAGGACUGGCUAAUUCCGUGCCAGCAGCCGCGGUAAUACGGAAGGUCCAGGCGUUAUCCGGAUUUAUUGGGUUUAAAGGGAGCGUAGGCCGUUUGGUAAGCGUGUUGUGAAAUGUAGGAGCUCAACUUCUAGAUUGCAGCGCGAACUGUCAGACUUGAGUGCGCACAACGUAGGCGGAAUUCAUGGUGUAGCGGUGAAAUGCUUAGAUAUCAUGAAGAACUCCGAUUGCGAAGGCAGCUUACGGGAGCGCAACUGACGCUGAAGCUCGAAGGUGCGGGUAUCGAACAGG
rnacentral:rRNA from 1 species